rnacentral:rRNA from 1 species
GACGAACGCUGGCGGCGUGCUUAACACAUGCAAGUGGAGCGACGAACCAGGCUUCGGCCUGGGGGCAGAGCCGCGAACGGGUGAGUAACACGUGGGUAACCUGCCCUGAUGACUGGGACAACCCGGGGAAACCCGGGCUAAUACCGGAUGUGCUGCUCUCACAUCAGUGAGAGUAGGAAAGGAAGCUUCGGCCUCCGCAUCAGGAUGGGCCCGCGGCCCAUUAGCUUGUUGGUGAGGUAACGGCUCACCAAGGCUUCGAUGGGUAGCUGGUCUGAGAGGACGAUCAGCCACACUGGGACUGAGACACGGCCCAGACUCCUACGGGAGGCAGCAGUGGGAAUCUUGCGCAAUGCGCGAAAG